rnacentral:rRNA from 1 species
GACGAACGCUGGCGGCGUGCUUAACACAUGCAAGUCGAACGGAAAGGCCCUGCUCUUGCGGGGCGCUCGAGUGCCGAACGGGUGAGUAAAACGUGAGUAACCUGCCCUUGACUUUGGGAUAACUCCAGGAAACUGGGGCUAUUACCGGAUAGGAGCUCCUGCUGCACGGUGGGGGUUGGAAAGUUUCGGCGGUUGGGGAUGGUCUCGCGGCUUAUCAGCUUGUUGGUGGGGUAGUGGCGUACCAAGGUUUUGACGGGUAGCCGGCCUGGGCGGGUGGACGGCGUCAAGAGGACUAAGGGACGGCGCAGACUCCAACGGGCGGCAACGGUGGGGAGUAUUGCGCAAUAGGCGGAAGCGUGAUACAACGACGCCGGGAGCGGGAUAACGGCCUUCGGGUUGUAAACCACUUUCGCCUGUAACGAGGCGUGAGUGACGGUAAUGGAUAAAGAAGCACCGGCUAACUACGUG